rnacentral:rRNA from 1 species
CCCGAAGGUAUCCUGAAUCUUUCGCAUUGUUAAUCAUACAAAUGCUUAUAAUAAACACAAAAAUCAAUGAUAAUUAUGCCAUUAUAUAAUUCCGAGAAAUUAACGCACUGUACUCAUAUAAAUCUAUCAGCACUUUAUCAAAUUUAUGACAUUUAUUUUAUGUUAAAAUGCAAGCAUUCUAAUUCAAAUAAGCAAUUAUCUACAAUUUUUU